GUGAACUCGAAGAGUAGGGCGGGACACGUGGUAUCCUGUCUGAAUAUGGGGGGACCAUCCUCCAAGGCUAAAUACUCCUGACUGACCGAUAGUGAACCAGUACCGUGAGGGAAAGGCGAAAAGAACCCCGGCGAGGGGAGUGAAAAAGAACCUGAAACCGUGUACGUACAAGCAGUGGGAGCACCUUCGGGUGUGACUGCGUACCUUUUGUAUAAUGGGUCAGCGACUUAUAUUCUGUAGCAAGGUUAACCGUAUAGGGGAGCCGCAGGGAAACCGAGUCUUAACUGGGCGUUAAGUUGCAGGGUAUAGACCCGAAACCCGGUGAUCUAGCCAUGGGCAGGUUGAAGGUUGGGUAACACUAACUGGAGGACCGAACCGACUAAUGUUGAAAAAUUAGCGGAUGACUUGUGGCUGGGGGUGAAAGGCCAAUCAAACCGGGAGAUAGCUGGUUCUCCCCGAAAGCUAUUUAGGUAGCGCCUCGUGAACUCAUCUUCGGGGGUAGAGCACUGUUUCGGCUAGGGGGUCAUCCCGACUUACCAACCCGAUGCAAACUACGAAUACCGAAGAAUGUUAUCACGGGAGACACACGGCGGGUGCUAACGUCCGUCGUGAAGAGGGAAACAACCCAGACCGCCAGCUAAGGUCCCAAAGUCAUGGUUAAGUGGGAAACGAUGUGGGAAGGCACAGACAGCCAGGAUGUUGGCUUAGAAGCAGCCAUCAUUUAAAGAAAGCGUAAUAGCUCACUGGUCGAGUCGGCCUGCGCGGAAGAUGUAACGGGGCUAAACCAUGCACCGAAGCUGCGGCAGCGACACUAUGUGUUGUUGGGUAGGGGAGCGUUCUGUAAGCCUGCGAAGGUGACCUGUGAGGGUUGCUGGAGGUAUCAGAAGUGCGAAUGCUGACAUAAGUAACGAUAAAGCGGGUGAAAAGCCCGCUCGCCGGAAGACCAAGGGUUCCUGUCCAACGUUAAUCGGGGCAGGGUGAGUCGACCCCUAAGGCGAGGCCGAAAGGCGUAGUCGAUGGGAAACAGGUUAAUAUUCCUGUACUUGGUGUUACUGCGAAGGGGGGACGGAGAAGGCUAUGUUAGCCGGGCGACGGUUGUCCCGGUUUAAGCAUGUAGGCUGGUUAUCCAGGCAAAUCCGGAUAAUCAAGGCUGAGGUGUGAUGACGAGGCACUACGGUGCUGAAGUAACAAAUGCCCUGCUUCCAGGAAAAGCCUCUAAGCAUCAGGUAACAUCAAAUCGUACCCCAAACCGACACAGGUGGUCAGGUAGAGAAUACCAAGGCGCUUGAGAGAACUCGGGUGAAGGAACUAGGCAAAAUGGUGCCGUAACUUCGGGAGAAGGCACGCUGGUGUGUAGGUGAAGUCCCUGCGGAUGGAGCUGAGACCAGUCGAAGAUACCAGCUGGCUGCAACUGUUUAUUAAAAACACAGCACUGUGCAAACACGAAAGUGGACGUAUACGGUGUGACGCCUGCCCGGUGCCGGAAGGUUAAUUGAUGGGGUUAUCCGUAAGGAGAAGCUCUUGAUCGAAGCCCCGGUAAACGGCGGCCGUAACUAUAACGGUCCUAAGGUAGCGAAAUUCCUUGUCGGGUAAGUUCCGACCUGCACGAAUGGCGUAAUGAUGGCCAGGCUGUCUCCACCCGAGACUCAGUGAAAUUGAACUCGCUGUGAAGAUGCAGUGUACCCGCGGCAAGACGGAAAGACCCCGUGAACCUUUACUAUAGCUUGACACUGAACAUUGAGCCUUGAUGUGUAGGAUAGGUGGGAGGCUUUGAAGCGUGGACGCCAGUCUGCGUGGAGCCAACCUUGAAAUACCACCCUUUAAUGUUUGAUGUUCUAACGUUGGCCCCUGACCGGGGUUGCGGACAGUGUCUGGUGGGUAGUUUGACUGGGGCGGUCUCCUCCCAAAGCGUAACGGAGGAGCACGAAGGUUAGCUAAUCCUGGUCGGACAUCAGGAGGUUAGUGCAAUGGCAUAAGCUAGCUUGACUGCGAGCGUGACGGCGCGAGCAGGUGCGAAAGCAGGUCAUAGUGAUCCGGUGGUUCUGAAUGGAAGGGCCAUCGCUCAACGGAUAAAAGGUACUCCGGGGAUAACAGGCUGAUACCGCCCAAGAGUUCAUAUCGACGGCGGUGUUUGGCACCUCGAUGUCGGCUCAUCACAUCCUGGGGCUGAAGUAGGUCCCAAGGGUAUGGCUGUUCGCCAUUUAAAGUGGUACGCGAGCUGGGUUUAGAACGUCGUGAGACAGUUCGGUCCCUAUCUGCCGUGGGCGCUGGAGAAUUGAGGGGGGCUGCUCCUAGUACGAGAGGACCGGAGUGGACGCAUCACUGGUGUUCGGGUUGUCAUGCCAAUGGCACUGCCCGGUAGCUAAAUGCGGAAGAGAUAAGUGCUGAAAGCAUCUAAGCACGAAACUUGCCCCGAGAUGAGUUCUCCCUGAGACUUUAAGUCUCCUGAAGGAACGUUAAAGACGAUGACGUUGAUAGGCCGGGUGUGUAAGCGCAGCGAUGCGUUGAGCUAACCGGUACUAAUGAACCGUGAGGCUUAACCUU
rnacentral:rRNA from 1 species